CCUACGGGUUGCAGCAGUGGGGAAUAUUGGACAAUGGGCGAAAGCCUGAUCCAGCAAUGCCGCGUGUGUGAAGAAGGUCUUCGGAUUGUAAAGCACUUUCGACGGGGACGAUGAUGACGGUACCCGUAGAAGAAGCCCCGGCUAACUUCGUGCCAGCAGCCGCGGUAAUACGAAGGGUGCUAGCGUUGCUCGGAAUGACUGGGCGUAAAGGGCGCGUAGGCGGAUAGGUAAGUCAGAGGUGAAAUCCCGGGGCUCAACCCCGGAAUUGCCUUUGAUACUGUUUAUCUUGAGUGCAGAAGAGGUAAGUGGAAUUCCCAGUGUAGAGGUGAAAUUCGUAGAUAUUGGGAAGAACACCGGUGGCGAAGGCGGCAACCUGGCUCGAUACUGACGCUGAGGCGCGAAAGCGUGGGGAGCAAACAGGAUUAGAUACCCCAGUAGUC
rnacentral:rRNA from 1 species